CGUAGGUGGCAAGCGUUGUCCGGAAUUAUUGGGCGUAAAGCGCGCGCAGGCGGUCCUUUAAGUCUGAUGCGAAAGCCCACGGCUCAACCGUGGAGGGUCAUUGGAAACUGGGGGACUUGAGCACAGAAGAGAAGAGUGGAAUUCCACGUGUAGCGGUGAAAUGCGUAGAGAUGUGGAGGAACACCAGUGGCGAAGGCGACUCUUUGGUCUGUAACUGACGCUGAGGCGCGAAAGCGUGGGGAGCAAACAGGAUUAGAUACCCUGGUAGUCCACGCCGUAAACGAUGAGUGCUAAGUGUUAGAGGGUUUCCGCCCUUUAGUGCUGCAGCAAACGCAUUAAGCACUCCGCCUGGGGAGUACGGCCGCAAGGCUG
rnacentral:rRNA from 1 species